rnacentral:rRNA from 1 species
AUAUUGCACAAUGGGGGAAACCCUGAUGCAGCAAUGCCGCGUGAGGGAAGAAGGUCUUCGGAUUGUAAACCUAAGUAGCCAGGGACGAUAAUGACGGUACCUGGAGAGUAAGCUCCGGCUAACUACGUGCCAGCAGCCGCGGUAAUACGUAGGGAGCGAGCGUUGUCCGGAUUUACUGGGUGUAAAGGGUGCGUAGGCGGGAUGGCAAGUCAGAUGUGAAAUACCGGGGCUUAACCCCGGGGCUGCAUUUGAAACUGUCGUUCUUGAGUGAAGUAGAGGCAGGCGGAAUUCCUAGUGUAGCGGUGAAAUGCGUAGAUAUUAGGAGGAACACCAGUGGCGAAGGCGGCCUGCUGGGCUUUAACUGACGCUGAGGCACGAAGGCCAGGGGAGCGAAAGG